UUUAAUGAGAGUUUGAUCCUGGCUCAGGACGAACGCUGGCGGCGUGCCUAAUACAUGCAAGUAGAACGCUGAAGAGAGGAGCUUGCUCUUCUUGGAUGAGUUGCGAACGGGUGAGUAACGCGUAGGUAACCUGCCUUGUAGCGGGGGAUAACUAUUGGAAACGAUAGCUAAUACCGCAUAACAAUAGGUGACACAUGUCAUUUAUUUGAAAGGGGCAAUUGCUCCACUACAAGAUGGACCUGCGUUGUAUUAGCUAGUAGGUGAGGUAACGGCUCACCUAGGCGACGAUACAUAGCCGACCUGAGAGGGUGAUCGGCCACACUGGGACUGAGACACGGCCCAGACUCCUACGGGAGGCAGCAGUAGGGAAUCUUCGGCAAUGGGGGCAACCCUGACCGAGCAACGCCGCGUGAGUGAAGAAGGUUUUCGGAUCGUAAAGCUCUGUUGUAAGUCAAGAACGAGUGUGAGAGUGGAAAGUUCACACUGUGACGGUAGCUUACCAGAAAGGGACGGCUAACUACGUGCCAGCAGCCGCGGUAAUACGUAGGUCCCGAGCGUUGUCCGGAUUUAUUGGGCGUAAAGCGAGCGCAGGCGGUUUGAUAAGUCUGAAGUUAAAGGCUGUGGCUCAACCAUAGUUCGCUUUGGAAACUGUCAAACUUGAGUGCAGAAGGGGAGAGUGGAAUUCCAUGUGUAGCGGUGAAAUGCGUAGAUAUAUGGAGGAACACCGGUGGCGAAAGCGGCUCUCUGGUCUGUAACUGACGCUGAGGCUCGAAAGCGUGGGGAGCGAACAGGAUUAGAUACCCUGGUAGUCCACGCCGUAAACGAUGAGUGCUAGGUGUUGGAUCCUUUCCGGGAUUCAGUGCCGCAGCUAACGCAUUAAGCACUCCGCCUGGGGAGUACGACCGCAAGGUUGAAACUCAAAGGAAUUGACGGGGGCCCGCACAAGCGGUGGAGCAUGUGGUU
rnacentral:rRNA from 1 species